GCUUGCACCGAGAUUCAACAUGGAACGAGUGGCGGACGGGUGAGUAACACGUGGGUAACCUGCCCUUAAGUGGGGGAUAACAUUUGGAAACAGAUGCUAAUACCGCAUAGAUCCAAGAACCGCAUGGUUCUUGGCUGAAAGAUGGCGUAAGCUAUCGCUUUUGGAUGGACCCGCGGCGUAUUAGCUAGUUGGUGAGGUAAUGGCUCACCAAGGCGAUGAUACGUAGCCGAACUGAGAGGUUGAUCGGCCACAUUGGGACUGAGACACGGCCCAAACUCCUACGGGAGGCAGCAGUAGGGAAUCUUCCACAAUGGACGCAAGUCUGAUGGAGCAACGCCGCGUGAGUGAAGAAGGCUUUCGGGUCGUAAAACUCUGUUGUUGGAGAAGAAUGGUCGGCAGAGUAACUGUUGUCGGCGUGACGGUAUCCAACCAGAAAGCCACGGCUAACUACGUGCCAGCAGCCGCGGUAAUACGUAGGUGGCAAGCGUUAUCCGGAUUUAUUGGGCGUAAAGCGAGCGCAGGCGGUUUUUUAAGUCUGAUGUGAAAGCCCUCGGCUUAACCGAGGAAGCGCAUCGGAAACUGGGAAACUUGAGUGCAGAAGAGGACAGUGGAACUCCAUGUGUAGCGGUGAAAUGCGUAGAUAUAUGGAAGAACACCAGUGGCGAAGGCGGCUGUCUGGUCUGUAACUGACGCUGA
rnacentral:rRNA from 2 species